GUGAAUUUUCUAGAAACUUCUUGCCUGGGCUGUAUGGGGACAUUUUCAUAAGCAUGGCAAAAGUCCCCUUCCGACAACUCUCAAGUUAUUCACUCAGCAGGAAGGGCCAAUUUCCUGCACUUAAUGUCUAUCAAGAGUUUCUUUGACUCUGCAGCAUGAGAACUCCAGAAUUAUGCUCUGUAAUUCAGGAACUUCAAGGUUUCAUAUGGCGUGUAGAUAUAUGGCCAGAUCUGGGAAUGUAAAUCAGCACAGUCCCCUGGAGAUCAAUGGAGCUUCAUUAUGCUAUACCAGUUGAAGAUCUGACCAUGCAUAUAAGAGGAGCUGGAUGAAGUCCUUUCAUGUUUCAGGUAGUGUUAUACAUUAGCACCAUGAUGUAGGGCUGCCUUUCUCCCCCACACUCCCCUCAUAAAAGUCUGAAACCUGUUGCCUAUUAUGCCUUUAGCCACCCCUU